GCCACGGCUGCACCGUUUUGCAACGAGGACAUCAGGCCCCGACACGUUGGGGAGCUCACUCAGGGCCACACGGCGGGAAGCGCGGCCGCCCGCCCGGGAGCCGCCGACCUCGUGGAAGGAGAGGUGGACACUGGGGAUCCACUCAGCGGGAGUCCCUCAGGACUACAGGUCAUGGCCUUGGGGACUGUGACAGCAAACCACAAGUGUAAACACCUCAAAACAGAGCACAAGCUAGAAAACCUUUCCAGACCCCCCUCAGCUCCCCAUUCUGGCCAUGUAGACACCCCAGAGCGCUGCUGCUCCCCGGAGCAGGCGACAAGCCUGGGGCUGGCAGCUCUAAGCCCUCUCUUUGCCUUGGCCAUGCAGAAAAAUUGCAUUGACACCCCUCCUUGUCUGAGACCACUUUUCUCCCUCCUCCUGAGCGAGGGAUGAGAGCUGCUAUUGCUUUUAACUCACUCUUCACUCACUCUUUUGUAGUCUGAGGAGUGGCUCACCAGGGCCCUCCAGAGCAGUCUGAGUUUUGCCCUCCUCUUAGAGACUGGCUUUGCUAGGGCUCACUGUCCUCCCUGCCUGAGCUGCAUCCCGCUCCUGGGGGGCUCCGUUCACUCCCUCACUCACCGAGUGCCAGGUUUGGGGGGGGUCCCCCUCCCUUUGCCAGUGUCCACUUACAAGGUUUUUGUUGUUAGUUUUUUUGUUUGUUUUUGUAUCCUUUGCCUUCGUUCCCAGUGUUUGUAAUGAUUUCAUAAUAUUCCAUCAAGACAAUAUAACACACCUUUCUUAAUUAUUCUUCAACUAUGGUACAUGAUAAACUAGUGGUAUAAAUAUUGUUUGAUUGA